GGGAAUUUUCGGCAAAUGGACGGAAGUUUGACCGAGCAACGCCGCGUGAGUGAAGAAGGUUUUUCGGAUCGUAAAGCUCUGUUGUAAGAGAAGAACGAGUGUGAGAGUGGAAAGUUCCCACUGUGACGGUAUCUUACCAGAAAGGGACGGCUAAAUACGUGCCAGCAGCCGCGGUAAUACGUAGGUCCCGAGCGCUGUCCGGAUUUAUUGGGCGUAAAGCGAGCGCAGGCGGUUAGAUAAGUCUGAAGUUAAAGGCUGUGGCUUAACCAUAGUAGGCUUUGGAAACUGUUUAACUUGAGUGCAAGAGGGGAGAGUGGAAUUCCAUGUGUAGCGGUGAAAUGCGUAGAUAUAUGGAGGAACACCGGUGGCGAAAGCGGCUCUCUGGCUUGUAACUGACGCUGAGGCUCGAAAGCGUGGGGAGCAAACAGGAUUAGAUACCCUGGUAGUCCACGCUGUAAACGAUGAGUGCUAGGUGUUAGACCCUUUCCGGGGUUUAGUGCCGUAGCUAACGCAUUAAGCACUCCGCCUGGGGAGUACGACCGCAAGGUUG
rnacentral:rRNA from 1 species